rnacentral:tRNA from 1 species
AUAGGUGUAGCUCCAAUUGGUAGAGCGGCGGAUUCCAAAUCCGACGGUUGGGGGUUCAAAUCCCUCCACCUGUGCCA